rnacentral:rRNA from 1 species
CACGUAGGGUGCGAGCGUUGUCCGGAAUUAUUGGGCGUAAAGAGCUCGUAGGCGGCUUGUCACGUCGGUUGUGAAAGCCCGGGGCUUAACCCCGGGUCUGCAGUCGAUACGGGCAGGCUAGAGUGUGGUAGGGGAGAUCGGAAUUCCUGGUGUAGCGGUGAAAUGCGCAGAUAUCAGGAGGAACACCGGUGGCGAAGGCGGAUCUCUGGGCCAUUACUGACGCUGAGGAGCGAAAGCGUGGGGAGCAAACAGG